UGGGGAAUAUUGGACAAUGGGCGCAAGCCUGAUCCAGCCAUGCCGCGUGAGUGAUGAAGGCCCUAGGGUUGUAAAGCUCUUUCACCGGUGAAGAUAAUGACGGUAACCGGAGAAGAAGCCCCGGCUAACUUCGUGCCAGCAGCCGCGGUAAUACGAAGGGGGCUAGCGUUGUUCGGAUUUACUGGGCGUAAAGCGCACGUAGGCGGACUUUUAAGUCAGGGGUGAAAUCCCGGGGCUCAACCCCGGAACUGCCUUUGAUACUGGAAGUCUUGAGUAUGGUAGAGGUGAGUGGAAUUCCGAGUGUAGAGGUGAAAUUCGUAGAUAUUCGGAGGAACACCAGUGGCGAAGGCGGCUCACUGGACCAUUACUGACGCUGAGGUGCGAAAGCGUGGGGAGCAAACAGGAUUAGAUACCCUCGUAGUCCCUGAGCGGGCUGGCAAGGCGCAU
rnacentral:rRNA from 1 species